UCUCUGCGUGAUGUGCUCUAAAGUACCCCAGGCAAAUAAUAGGUAUAAAUUGAUCGAAAUGCCCGAGUUUAUGAUACACUUUAUCGAUGCUCAACACACAAAUUGCUAUUUAUCGCACUGUUGAUUAGUGACACCACUGCAGCUCCGGCACAAUGGAAUGUGUGAUAACAACGGUGUGGCUGAGGUGGCCGGCCCGCAGCGGUGGCAGCGGCGGCGGCGUAGCGCGGCGGCAACGCAACUACAGCUACUAGAUAUAACCUGCCUGCGUUAAGCUUACGACUUAUUUCCUCCAGUUAGUCAAAGCAGAUAAAGAAUGCUGAUCGAAUGGAGGAAUGAAAAAAUGAGAACGGAUCUAUGUUAUGUAUAAUAAUGGUUACCGACCGGUCAGGCGGGUUUAUUGCCGUUAUAAGCCGAGAGUUGUACUUCAAUGCGAUUUAAAGGGAGACGAAGAAACCCAAACACAAAACUCUGUGCUGUGCUAUGCUGUGACUGUCAUGUGGAGAGUUAACAAUUGUGUGUUCUUUUCGUACAAUUUAUUUGAUUAUGUUUCCCAAAUGGAAUUAUCAUCAAAUACGCGUGGAGUGGCGUGGAGCAAGCAGAUAGAUAGAUAGCCCAGCAUGAGAACUGAAUGUCUCUCUAUACGCUGGAUGCUAUACGAGUAUACAAGUCGAGUACACUAUAUAAAACAUGUGUGUGGAAUUAUACAAAUGAUAUAAUUGUGUGUACAUUAAUUAUGCAAAUAGCCUUGUAUCUAUGGGUUGCAUUGUAUGGGUUUUCUAAUCAACAAAUAAAAAUAUUUACUUAAGAAAUCUUACGGCAAGUAGUCGUGUUUCAAGUUUAUAUUGAUUUAGGUUGUAUCUACACAAAUGAAUGAGACAUUUUUUUAAAAAUUUUUAAAUUAUUUAAUUAAUUGGCUAAUUUGUCGCUAGAGGGUGUCUUUUUGGUUUUACUUUCAUAAGGAAAUUGUGUUUCUUAAAAAAUGCCAAUGUGAAAAAUUCAAAUCAACAUAAAACACUGUUGGAUUGGAUGCAAUACAGCAACAAAAUAAAGUCUCCAAAAGGGCAAAUAAGUAGAAAUAGGUAAAUAGGAAAAACCCUGUUAUGUCAAGUUUUCCCUCGAGAGAGAUGUGAAUGAUAUGCGGCCCAUCAUACAAAAACUUAAAAGGGUUCAUACAAAUUUGAUGAAAGUAUUUGAUCUUAAAUUUUUCAUUUCCAUCCGUAAAAAUCACCGGAAAUUUUGAAUUAUUUGUGAAAAAAUUUGGUGUUGAAAAUGUAUAGAGAGAUGAAUUAAUGUCUACAAGUAGUGUAUAAUCUUACUAAUUUUUUAGUAUUUAUUAUUAAUUUAUUAAUACAUUAUUUAUUUCUUGAUAAUUUUUUCUUACAUUUUGUUGAUAUAAGAAUUGUAAAGCUUGACAAAAAUAUUGCCGUCUGCCUAAUUGACUUAUUUCGAGUUUUUAGUAAAAAGAAAGAAAAGGUUAAAGUUGUAAAUACAUAUUAAAAAUAAUUUUACG